rnacentral:rRNA from 1 species
GGACGAACGCUGGCGGCGUGCUUAACACAUGCAAGUCGAACGAUGACGAUGGUGCUUGCACCGUCUGAUUAGUGGCGAACGGGUGAGUAACACGUGAGUAACCUGCCCUCCUCUUCGGGAUAACCGCCGGAAACGGUGGCUAAUACCGGAUAUGAAUGCCUGCCGCAUGGUGGGUGUUGGAAAGAUUUAUCGGUGGGGGAUGGACUCGCGGCCUAUCGGUUUGUUGGUGAGGUAAUGGCUCACCAAGGCGAUGACGGGUAGCCGGCCUGAGAGGGCGACCGGCCACACUGGGACUGAGACACGGCCCAGACUCCUACGGGAGGCAGCAGUGGGGAAUAUUGCACAAUGGGCGAAAGCCUGAUGCAAGCGACGCCGCGUGGGGGAUGACGGCCUUCGGGUUGUAAACCUCUUUCAGCAGGGAAGAAGCGAGAGUGACGGUACCUGCAGAAGAAGCGCCGGCUAACUACGUGCCAGCAGCAGC